rnacentral:tRNA from 1 species
GGUCCCGUAGUGUAGCGGUAAACACGCCUGCCUGUCACGCAGGAGAUCGCGGGUUCGAUUCCCGUCGGGACCGCCA